GGGGAUGUCCGGUUUCGACGGGGGCUGUAGACAUCUCGGGAGCCAUCCGCAGGCUGGACUGCGUCAUCAACCGGACCUAAAUAUAAACGCUAAAAAUAACAACGCUUACGCGUUCGCAGCCUGAUGGCUGUCAUCCGACCUGAGGUUCCUGCGCCUCGGCCACCGGGUGUCAUAGUAAGGCAGGGAACUUUCCGUCCUAAGCUUUGCGGGCGGAUCAGAUUCAUGAAGCUACCGGAGCGUCUAUCCUGUCGACGGGAGAGCGCCGAGGGAAACACAAAACAUCGACUAUGAUGGUAGCUGGCCUGGGAUCGAAGGGCUUUCGGACAGGAGUUCGAUUCUCCUCAUCUCCAU
rnacentral:tmRNA from 1 species